UACGGGGGGGGCAAGCGUUGUUCGGAAUUACUGGGCGUAAAGGGCUCGUAGGCGGCCAACUAAGUCAGACGUGAAAUCCCCAGGCUCAACCUGGGAACUGCGUCUGAUACUGGAUGGCUUGAAUCCGGGAGAGGGAUGCAGAAUUCCAGGUGUAGCGGUGAAAUGCGUAGAUAUCUGGAGGAACACCGGUGGCGAAGGCGGCAUACUGGACCACAUCUGACGCUGAGGCGCGAAAGCCAGGGGAGCGAACGGG
rnacentral:rRNA from 1 species